ensembl:lncRNA
GGUUUUUUUUGUGUGUGUGUAUUUUCUUUUUUUUUGUUUUUUUUUUCCUUUUGCUUUUUUUGUUUUUUUUUCUCCUUUUAAUUUCUAAUUUGUGUGGUUUUUUUUCAUUUGUAUUUUUUGUUUUUUGCUGUGAGGCACUCUGUGGGGCGCUCUGUGUUGUUGGAAUUUCUUUUUUUCUUUUUUGUGUGUCUUUUGGUUUUUUUUGUGGGUUUUUGUUUUAGGUUUUUUUUUUUCAGAUUUGUUGCUUUAAAUGUGAUUAUUUUCAUUUGCUGUUUUUUUUUUCCCUUCGUUUUCCUACAUUAUUUUUGUUUCUGGUCUUUUUUUGUGUGUGUUUUUUGUGCUUUUGUUCUGUUUUUGUUUUCUGUUUGCUUGUGUGUGUUAUGAUUAGAUUUUUGUUCUGGUGUUGUUUGUUCUUUUUCAUCUUUUAUUUUUGGUAUUUUAUUUUGUGGGCUUUUGCUUUCCAUUGUUCUUCUUUAUUCGUUUUUGAUUUAUUGCUUCUUUUUCUCUUAG